GUCGUUGCGAAUGCAGCGACCGGGCUUGGCGGCCCAGACAGAUAUAGGCGAAACGAGCGCCCCGCUUUAAGAUUGCAGGCGCUUUUUUU
rnacentral:sRNA from 1 species